rnacentral:misc_RNA from 1 species
GAUGAAGAACGUAGCGAAAUGCGAUAAGUAAUGUGAAUUGCAGAAUUCAGUGAAUCAUCGAAUCUUUGAACGCACAUUGCGCCCCUUGGUAUUCCGAGGGGCAUGCCUGUUCGAGCGUCAUUAUAACCCCUCAAGCUCAGCUUGGUGUUGGGGCCUGCUGCACUGGCAGCCCUUAAAAUCAGUGGCGGCGCCAUCUGGCUCUAAGCGUAGUAAUUCUUCUCGCUAUGGAGUCCUGGUGGAUGCUUGCCAUCAACCCCCAAUUUUUCUAUGGUUGACCUCGGAUCGGGUAGGACUACCCGCUGAACUUAAGCAUAUCAAUAAGCGGAGGA